AUUAAAAAAAGGAUAUGCAAAUAUUUCCCUGGAGAACAUCCAUCAACUUAUUUUGGUCGUCGUGGAAAUUCUAAACGACCGUGUGGUAAAUUAUAUGAUCGCUAUUUUAAUAAUCGAAAAGGAAAAAAAUUUACCUACGUGUUCAAACACACCAAGAGGCAACGACACGAGUACAAAAACAGACCUUUCCUGAACUGGACGAAAUUUUAUCCAAAAAAAAUUCAAGUUUGGCGGAAAUAUAAUGAUAGCCCACUAGAGGAAAUUGUGGAUAAGUGGAAAACGACACAUCUAUAUAGAAAUAUUUAUCUCAUGAAUUCAUUGGAAAGAGGGGAAACGAUAUCCGCAUUUAUAAUCGAAUGGCCUUUGUACAAACAUUGUGUUCUUGGACCACAGCUGAUCAAUUGUGAUUUUGAUAUACUCUUUCCGAACAAAGGAACAAAUUUGCAUACAAAGUGGGAAGAUUUCGUGCCAUUAAUAUACAGCUAUUAUAAGAAAAAUAAAAGGACAAAGUUUCCCGAGAAAUUUUAAUUCAAUUGGAAAAUCAAAACCUCGCUGCAGGUACAAGAACAACUCGUCGUUUAAAAGGGUAACUAUUCAGGAAGGAGUGGACAGUUUUUUAGUCCAUGUAAACUCUGCAUCAACUUUGGAGGAAACAUUGGCCGAAAUAAGGGAACGUUUUUCGACAAAAAUAAUACUUUGCAACCCAUUAUAAUAGCUACUGGUUCUAGUAUUAACUCUUUAGAUAUUUUUUUUUGUACAUAUAUCUAGACGGAACCAAGCUCAAGUUCUCAUCAUUUUUGGCAGCUCUGGAUUAAUGUUUUAAAGUUUUUGAUGUACAAUAUCCUUUAUACUGUGAAGGUGUUUGGCUUUUUAUCCAAAAGUUUUUUUUUUUUUUUAAAUUGACACAAAAUACGACGAACAUCAGCCUAAAGUUGGUGGAUUGAAAUCUCAUUUGAAUUCGUUAUUAAAUAAAAUAUAUAAUGUAUUUUUGCUUUGUUUGUGAAUACAGAACUGAAACGGUUAAAAAGUUAAUAUCUCAUUUCAAUAGUGAACAUAAAUUGAAAAAUUUUGCUGUAUAUAAAUGUGCACAGAAAAACUGUUUGCAGCAUUUUUCAAGUAAAUGGUCAUUUGCAAAACACCUUAAUAGGCAUGAAAAAUAUGCUAAUGAUGAUAACUUGAGUUUAAAUAAUGUAAAGUCGAAUUCUGAAAGUUUCAACAACACUGACCGAUCAUCAUAUAACUGUACUAAGCCAGAAACUCAUAUUUGUAAAACGGAUAACAAUCCAAAUGAUAAAAUUAUAGAAUCAGCUGUAAUAUUUUCAUGUGAACUAUAUUCAAAAAACUAUUUAAGUAGUAGUAUCCAAAAAAAUGUUUCGAAUAUAUGUAAAAUAUUGGUUGCUAAUAUUAAAGAUACACUUAAGAAUGAGAUUGAUAUUCCAUUAACUAACAAACUACGCGAAGUUUUUAAAUUAUGCUCUGAUCCACUGCAAUACGUAAACACUUAAUAUACAUUUUUUAAGUACAUCCAGAGCAAAAAUUUGUUUCACAGUUUUUCUGAGCAUACUAUAAACAAUGAAAUUGUACCACGUAUCCGACUUGGAAAUCCCACUUUGGCUGAAACUAAUUCAAAAGCUUAUAUUACGCCAUUACGCUUUCAAUUUAAAAAAAUUUUCGAAUUAAAAUCUCUGUUUCGAGAAACAUUGAACAACACACAAUUCUUACAAAACCAAACGCAAUAUUCAAAUUUUGUAAAUGGAUCUAUUUUCAAGUCGAAGGAGCAAAAAAUUGUUAAAGGAAAGUUGAUUAUACCAUAUUUUCUUUACUCUGAUGAUUUCGAAACAAACAACCCUUUAGGAAGUCAUACAACAAAAGAUUCUAUACGCGGAUGUUAUUAUUCUUUUCCGACAAUACCGCAAUAUUUACUGUCUAGUUUGGAAUUUAUUUUAUUGUCAAAUCUUGUUAUUUGAAAGAUUUGGGAAGUAAUUCAGCCUUAUAUGGUCUCAUUCAAGAAAUUCGAUUUUUGGAAGAAACGGGUUGAGAAAUGAGUGCUGAUGGAAAUAGCUAUCAUGUUUUUUUUUACAUUAGGACUUGUUCUAGGAGAUAACUUAGGUAUGAAAACAAUAUUUGGUUUUUGUAAAUCAUUUCGAUCGUACAAAUUUUGUCGUCUUUGCAGAAGAGGCAAAAUAUAUAGUUACAGAAAGAUGUAAUCGAAGCAAAUGAUUGUAUAAGAAAUAUACAAAAUUAUUCUGAAGAUCUUAAGUUAAACAAUUACAGUGUAGCAGGUAUAGUAGAAAAACGUAUAUUUAAUGAUAUUAGCACUUUUCAUGUUACUCAUAAUUUUAGCGUUGAUAUAAUGCAUGGCAUUUUUGAAGGUAUUUGUCGCUAUGAAAUAACCCCAUCCCUAUUGUACUUAAAAAAAAAAAAAAAACUUUUCCUUAGACUUUUUAAACACACGCAAACAAAAUUGUAUGUACGGGGAAACCGAAAUAGGAAAUUUUUCAGGCCCAUUAAAAUUACACUGUCGUCUUAAGUCAAAUUUAAAAAUGUCUGCAAGUGAAACUUGAACUUUCACACAUUUUCUGCCACUAAUUAUAGGGGACAAAGUGCCACGAUAUGAUAAAGUGUGGAAGCUUAUCACAUUAUUAAUCAAAAUCAUUGAUAUUUGCCUAUAUUCAUCUUUCACUGAAAAUGACAUUGAACUCCUUAUAGAUACGAUAUCUCGUCAUCGCGAAUUGUAUUUGAAAGUAUUUGGAUUACUUAAGCCAAAGCACCAUUUCUUGGUCCAUUAUGGGUCGGCAAUAAAGGCUAGUGGGCCUUUGAAAUAUAUAUGAUGUUUAAGAUUUGAUGCGAAACAUACAGACUUAAAAAAAUAUACGUCUGUCAUAGAGCCGGAAAGCUAUCGAUGGUUGUGGCCACACCAUGUGUUACUCAUAACACAGAUAAAAAACAAGUGAACGAAGACAAUACACGUACAAUUGAUUUUUUUGCAGUCAUGUAACUUAACAAUAGAACAUUUUACUUUAGCUGACUCAGUGACCUUCAAAGGAAGUGUUUAUAAAAAACACUUUUAUCUCUCCAGAUUAUCAGAAAUUUUACAGUUAUAUAAAAUCGAAGGACUUCUAAUUGACAAACAAAAUCAACUGUUUAUUGUUUCUACCAAAAUUCAGUUGAAAAAAUUUUAUGAACAUUACCAAUCUUAUGUUGUUGGAAUAAAUACCAAUGAAAUGUGUUUUAAUUAAAUUGAAUUUUUUACUAGUCCUGGCAGAUGGUUCAGUAUAUCUACGAAAUAAAAUGUUGUGACUACUUAAAUAAUAUUUAUUUAAUUUAUUGUUAAA